rnacentral:rRNA from 1 species
UACAGAGGUCUCAAGCGUUGUUCGGAUUCAUUGGGCGUAAAGGGUGUGUAGGUGGCGCCGUAAGUCGGGUGUGAAAUUUCGGAGCUUAACUCCGAAACUGCAUUCGAUACUGCGGUGCUUGAGGACUGGAGAGGAGACUGGAAUUCAUGGUGUAGCAGUGAAAUGCGUAGAGAUCAUGAGGAAGACCAGUGGCGAAGGCGGGUCUCUGGGCAUUACCUGACGCUGAGGAGCGAAAGUGUGGGGAGCGAACAGG